GGGUCUUUUCACUGCCUGCAAGUCUGUUAAAGUAUAUUAUCUUUUUGGUAGGGGGUAGUGGUUUAGCUAGGAAUUUUAGUUUGGAAAGGUCAAAUUAGAAAACAAUUUUAGGGGUAAAAUUUAAUUUUUUAUUUUAUUUUUAAAGCUAAAAAUAUAAUUUGUUAAUGGAGGGGGGUUAAAAAAAAUUUCCUUGCACGGCCUGCCAUUGCCAGUAGGGGUGAGCAAAAAAACCGAAAAACCGAUUUAACCGAGAAAACCAAAAAAAAAAUUAACCAAAAAAACCGAACCGGUACAAAAAACCGAUUGAACCGAUUAAAAUAUUUAGGAAAUGUCCGGUCCGGUUUUGGUGUGCCUGAACCGGCCAACCCGAACCGAACCGGUUCGAUUUAAAAAUGAAAAAAAUAAAAUAAAGUAACAAACCAAGCGCGGGCCACCCCUCCCUUCCAUUAGCCAACCCUAGCAGACCUUUAUCAUUUCUUUCCCUUGCACACAGCCGCCCUCUCCCUUGUUUAAGUCUUUGAAUGCUUUCACAUUGAAGGGUCCCUUCAUUCACAGCUUCAAUGCUCUCUUUGUCUCUUAUCUCUCAACGUGAAGGCAAAGUAAAGAUUACAGAGAUGAAUUGCUGAUGAUUCUUCCAUUGAUUUACUUGAUUCUCCUUCAUGGGUCACGGCUUUUAACAGAUCCCACCUUGAUUACCAGAGAGGAAUUAUUUCGGGUCUAGAAGCUGAAGAGUGUCCAGAAAAAUCCAAGUAGUGAUGGCUAAGAAUUGAUACUGUUUUUUUGUAAUUAUUUUUUCCUUUGCAAGAAGUUGUAACAACGAGAACAACAUUGUUGAUUCUUAGAGGAUGGCAUCUUGGCAUUGCAGUUCGGUUUGAACCGGUUUGGAAGGGAAAAAAACCGAACCGAACCGAACCGAAAUUAAUCGGUUUGAACCGGUUUUCAGUUCGGUUCGGUUCAAAAUCUAAAAAAAAAACGGUUUGGUUGUUUAUUUUGGUCCAAAACCGGACCGAACCGAAAAUACUCAGCCCUAAUUGCCAGCCCCAGCCCUUCUGAUUCUGCCCCUGGUGAUGGGGAUGGGAGUUCUUUAGUAUUCUAUGGUAAAAAAAACUAAUGAAAUAACAGUGUAACAAAUUAUUUUAAAAAAUAGUAAGGUUCAUAGAGUCAUAAAUGAUACAUGCGAUUCAUGAGUUGCAA